rnacentral:rRNA from 1 species
GUCCAGACUCCUACGGGAGGCAGCAGUGGGGAAUAUUGGGCAAUGGGCGCAAGCCUGACCCAGCAAUGCCGCGUGAAGGAAGAAGGCCUUCGGGUCGUAAACUUCUUUUAUCAGGGACGAAGGAUGUGACGGUACCUGAUGAAUAAGCUCCGGCUAACUACGUACCAGCAGCCGCGGUAAUACGUAGGGAGCAAGCGUUAUCCGGAUUUACUGGGUGUAAAGGGCGCGUAGGCGGGAUGGCAAGUCAGAUGUGAAAUCCAAGGGCUCAACCCUUGAACUGCAUUUGAAACUGUCGUUCUUGAGUACUGGAGAGGUUGACGGAAUUCCUAGUGUAGCGGUGAAAUGCGUAGAUAUUAGGAGGAACACCAGUGGCGAAGGCGACUAUCUGGCACAUAACUGACGCUGAGGAGCGAAAGCGUGGGUAGCAAACAGGAUUAGAUACCCUCGUAC